GGCAGUGUCUCCAUGGUGACGGGGCUGUUCCCGGGGAGGCUGUGAUGGGUUGACAGGUGCGUGACAGUCGGAGCUCUCUGCAGGCAUGUACGGCAAAGGCAAGAGCAACAGCAGCGUCCCGUCCGACAGCCAGGCCAGGGAGAAGUUAGCACUGUAUGUAUAUGAAUAUCUGCUCCAUGUAGGAGCACAGAAAUCUGCUCAGACAUUUUUAUCAGAGAUAAGAUGGGAAAAAAACAUCACGUUGGGGGAGCCCCCAGGAUUCUUGCACUCUUGGUGGUGUGUAUUUUGGGAUCUCUACUGUGCAGCUCCAGAAAGACGAGAAACAUGUGAACAUUCAAGUGAAGCUAAAGCCUUUCAUGAUUAUAGUGCUGCAGCAGCUCCCAGUCCAGUGCUAGGAAACAUUCCCCCAGGAGAUGGCAUGCCAGUAGGUCCUGUACCACCGGGUUUUUUUCAGCCUUUUAUGUCCCCUCGAUACCCUGGAGGUCCAAGGCCACCUUUAAGAAUACCCAAUCAGGCACUUGGAGGUGUCCCAGGAAGUCAGCCAUUAUUGCCCAGUGGGAUGGACCCAACACGACAACAAGGGCAUCCAAACAUGGGUGGGCCAAUGCAGAGAAUGACUCCUCCAAGAGGAAUGGUUCCAUUAGGACCACAGAACUAUGGAGGUGCAAUGAGACCGCCACUGAAUGCUUUAGGUGGCCCUGGAAUGCCUGGAAUGAACAUGGGUCCAGGAGGUGGUAGACCGUGGCCAAACCCAACAAAUGCCAAUUCUAUACCGUACUCUUCAGCAUCUCCUGGGAAUUACGUAGGUCCUCCAGGGGGUGGAGGGCCACCAGGAACACCCAUCAUGCCUAGUCCUGCAGAUUCAACUAACUCUGGAGACAACAUGUACACUUUAAUGAAUGCAGUACCACCUGGACCCAACAGAUCUAAUUUUCCAAUGGGUCCGGGGUCAGAUGGACCUAUGGGUGGAUUGGGUGGAAUGGAAUCACAUCAUAUGAAUGGAUCUUUAGGCUCAGGAGACAUGGACAGUAUUUCCAAAAACUCUCCCAGUAAUAUGAGCAUGAGUAAUCAGCCUGGCACUCCCAGAGAUGAGGGUGAAAUGGGUGGAAAUUUCCUAAACCCUUUUCAGAGUGAGAGUGAUCAGGAUGAGAGGCUCAGAAGCUGAUAGGAACAAGCCCUAAAUCAGACGAGACCAAACAAAGAAAAUUAUGAAGGUCAAAACAGAUUUUCCCAAUUAGUCUGUUCUAAGCAUCUUGUAUUAGAAGAUCUAACCAAAAACCUGGUUCUGAACAUCCUUCAACACUGGGAAAAGUACUCGCCCAGCAUGACAAUGAGUGUGUGAUCCAUACCAAGUCUCCUCAUGAAGACCGCAGUGAGUUGGCCCUCUUCAGAGAGCUACUACAGAAGAAAAUUACUCGUCCCAGUGUACAGUUUAACAAAAGGAUCUCAGACACAACCAAACCCACCAUCUUUUCCUACCAUCUCCCCAGUUUUGUGAAGAAAGUGGGUCCAAACAUGAUUGAAACAACUAUAGAGAGUGGCAUAACAGAACUGCCCAAGAGUGAACUGCAAACAAUUAUCCUAUGUAUGUAUAAGUGCGGAUAGAUGUAUAUGUGUGUGGAUAUGUUAUAUUGACAUACACACACACACAUAUACAUAUACAGACCUGCAGGACAUUGUAAAAUAUUAUCACAUGACAUCUUAAGUAGAAAUAAGAAAUAGAGACUUUUAUUCCAUCUUUUUUUCACGUUUACAUAUUAACUAUUAAAAUUUGCGUUCCCUCUCCCCCCCGAACUGUUCUGUGCUGCAUAUAUCACUGCUUUAUAAGUUAUUUUUUAAGGUGAACCCAAAUGGUCAAUUGUUCUGAUUUUGUAAAUGUCUGCCAUCAUGGAUAGGAAUAAAAUUGCUCGUAAGAGGGCUUUCACAAACUUGUAUCAUACCAGUUACCCUGUGAAUCACAAACUGUGCUCUCUCAAGAAAUAGAAGAAAGCUCAUCUUGUGGGGAAAUUUAAUAAUUUGUCACCUGGCUUUAGUGGUAUUGGGGGUUUUUUCUUUUGUUUUUUUUAAUUUGUUUUGCUUUUUUGUGCUCAGUACCUUUAAAAAUAGGAGCACUGAAGGUUAUUUUUCUUCCUCAAAUGAGGCUUAAUAUCUGCAAAAUCUAUUUUAAAUGGAAGUCUGAGUUUGAUACAAGACUCAGUUUAUCCAGAGUAUUUUAACAUUGCUGUAAAUGAGCUCCAAUUGCUAUAGAACCCAGCAAUAAAGUGGCAGAGCUUCUUCAGUCCUUGGAAGUAAGUUUUCCCUUUAGCCUGAUCUUCCGUGUGUGUGGUAGCAAGUAGAAAUACAAUAAAAUCCUUAUUACUGAAACCUCUUUUUCUAACAAACUGCCAGCUUGUCUCCCUUUUCUAUUGAUUCUUGGCUGACUCCCAAUUAUCCAUAGUCCUGAUUAUCAGAACAUAUUUAGUGUCUGCCAAGCCAUUUAAAUAAUCAGGAUUCCACUGUAUUUGAUUUGUUAUUUUUCACCAGGAAUACUAGAGCUGAACUCCUUAGAAACUUUCCAGUACAUAAUCACAUUAGUGAACCAAAAUGAUUGAGUAUUUUGUGAGUACUUCCCAUGUAGGGAAUGUUGGAAGGCUCAUGCCCUUAUAUCAGAAACAGAACAGGAACAGAGGUCUGAGCCUUUUUAUAAGGAAAUCAGGAUACUGUAUUUCGAAACAAUCUUUUUUGGAGAUAGUGGGCAAAAAAGAAGAGUGGUUAUACGGCUUCCUGCACCACUGAAGAAAAGCCUUUAGGGGGAGUCUCCUAUCCCUUAAUGUAAAGCUCUAAAAUCUAAGAUUAUAUUACAUUUAAUUCCUAAUGACUCCCACCUUCCCCAAGAAAAUGAAAGUUUGUACCUGCGUGGUAUGUAAAAGGGUGAUGUUCAGUACCUCAGGCAUAAAAUGCCUGAAUUAAAUUCAUUCUGCAGAUACCAAGCAAUGUUCACCCCUCAAAAUUCACAUCUCAGUGGGAGAUCCCCAAAAUAUGGUGCUCACAUGCAGAUUUGUCAGGAGAAUUUUGCCCUUAAGUUGUGAUAAAGGGUUGCAUGUUAUGGGGGUCAGUGUGCAGGUAGACGUACAUCACUGCAUGUAUCAGGAGUAGAUCAAAUUCCCUGUUAGUAUAUAAAUGAAUAAAAUUAGAAUGUCUUUUACCUCACUGUUGGAACUACAUAAAGAUUAAACUCUUCUUAGGCACCAGGCUGUUACUUGAAAUUGUAUUCAGAUUUUGAAAAUUUUAUGAGAUGUUUCCCUUUAGUUAAAAAAAAUAAUGAUCAUUUGUGACCUAAAAUUAGAUAAAAGUAUUGAUAUGGUUCUGUUUACUUUACUCCCGGUUAUUAUCGAGUUUGAGUUCAUUUAUUCAUCUUUUGAAAACAAGUAGUUUUUUGCUGUGUCUCAAAAAGAUCCUUGGAGCACUAAUCAAUUUCACUUACAAAAAAAUUCAAAAUUAGACUCCAAUCCUGCAACACACAUGUAUUUAACUUGACUACUGUGAGUAGUCUCAUUGAUUUCAGUGGGACAACUCACAGUAGUAAAGUUAAACGUGCUCACAAACUUAGUAUUUACCAGAUAAAUGAAACAACACCUUUUGUUUAUACAUUUUCUUUUUCUCUUUUAGUUUUACAUUACCAGGAACUGUUUAGUUUAUGGAUUCCUUCAUGGGGGAAUAAAUAUGACCAUUAAAUAAAAAUGAUGCAAACCAGAAUAUAAAAUAGAAAUCAUAUCCUUUAAAAUAGAACUGUCAAAAAUGUACUAAAUUUCCAGGACUAUGAUUUUAAAUGUAAAAUCACCAUCAAAAUAUUUUCUCCUAGUUUACCUACAAUAGCAUGAUGUGCUUCUGGCAACAUAGAUUUUUUUCCUGUAAUUUUUUUAGCACCCCCUUCCCAAUUUUGUCCCACUUGUAGCAUAACCUCUCAACUUCUUGUGUCCUCACUUUCUUUUCCAGUCCCUUCCAAAAUAUUUUUGUUAAAUUAAACUGCUGAGUAAUGGGAUAGAUCCUGCAUCACUAAAGUCGGUAAGAAUUUUGUCAUUGACUUAAAAGGGAGUAGAAUCAGCCCCUACAGUACUUAGGUGGGAAUUAUAGACCCUACUCCUGCAAAGAAUUAAACAUGUACAUAUCUUUUCACACCUUAGUAGUUUCAUAGACUCCAGUGAGACCACUCAGGUAUGUAAAGUUGUACAUGUGCUUAAGUCUUUGAAAGAUCAGGACUGUACAUAAUUAGAGAUGGAAAAAGACCCAUUUGAUCAUCCAAUGCAUCUCUUGAGUUGUUAUGACAAAUUUCAUCACACAUAAGUAAUGAUCUCUGCUACUCUUACCUUCCUUUUUUAGAGAAUGAUCCUGCAAAAGUUUACAUACAUAAGUAAAGUUACUCACAUACCUGUUGACAGGAUCAGGUGCUUAGAUCACACAUACACAUGUUCUACAGCUAAGCCACAGGGAAUAAUAAUUGUAUUUGCAACAUAUUCAAAUAUGCAACAUAUUCAAAGGAUGCCUUUAGCUUUCAAAUUUGUAUCGGGUUUUUUGUUUAACUUUCUUUUGCUUACAAAAUUCUUUUAUGAGUUUGCAAUAUAGAGACCAAAAUUGAGAUGGAAGGAAAUUUUAUUUCCAAGCACUGAUUUUUUUUCCUCCCACCAGUGUUUCUCAUGCACUAGAUGUUGAUGUGUAAUGUAACUGCUGUUUGUUUUAUGCUUAUGCACCAGCAUUGUCAGAUGGAAAUUGUCCAGAUCUGGAAGUAAUGCUAAUUUAAGGGCAACAGGUCAGCUUUCGCACUAAGUUUUAAGAUAGUGGUCUUUUUAUGUUUUUUUAAUAUGGAGAAGAGUAAGGCCUGAUUUGCCAAACACUUUUUUUUUCAGUAACAUAUUUUAAAAGAGAAGAGAUGGAGCCUUAGAACAUCGAAAGCAGGGAAUAGUGGGUUUUCUUUCUCUCUGUAGAGAAGCUAAUUGAAAUCCUAGUCCUAUUGAAGUGAGUCGGAGUUUUGCCUCUGAUUUGAAUGGAAGUAGGGAUUUCACUGUCUGUGUAAACAUGUGCAAAGGAAUCUUUGUGUCCAUAUUUUAUUUCCACACAAAGGUUUUGUGGAGACAUUAACUCUCCUUCCAUAUUCAUUAAAAAAAGGAGUGAAAGAGGUUGUAUGAAUCACAAGAACAAUAGGCUGCCUGAAAUGUACAUUAAAAAGUACCUUCAUAUAUUUAUAUAUAGAUAAGGCACUUACAUUAUUUUCUAGUAAAUUUGUGUGUGAAGAACUGAAGUUGCUCCUCAGUUUAUUUUAAAAUGAAUUUAGAGUUCAUGAAAGGUGCUGGAUUUGAAAGCCCUUGAGACUAGUCUUUUGUGCACCCCACACUGCCUCAGUAGUGUCCUCAACCUUGAUCUGGAGCGCCUACCAUUGAAAAGAGAGAGAGUAGUUUUGUCUCCAGUACUUGAAGACAUUCGUCUCUCUGCUGAGUGCCACAGUUGCCAAUUUUUAUUUGGAAACCUGCUUGUUAGGGAUUGGACCACCAGCUUAUUAGACAAUCAACUAUAGUAAAAAUUUUCAGUCACCAACCUGCACCAGUUUUGAAGUAGUGACUCAUAGGUGAAAGGUACGAUUUCCCAUGAGCCUGAAACAUCCAGUCCCCCUAUGAACUUUGUAUUUUAAAGGGAAAGAUUUUAGUUUAAUUCAUUAUUUUGAGUAGAUCAAACUAGCAGAUGUGAUUUAAAAACUUUCUUCUGUGUGAAUCAUAGAAAUAUGGCGCUGUAAGGGACCUCGAGAGGUCAUCUAGUCCAGCGCUCUGCACUGAGGCAAGACCAAGUAUACCUAGACCAUCUGUGGCAGGUGUUUGUUAAACCUGUUCUUAAAAUCCUCCAAUGACAGGGAUUCCACAACAAUACUUCCACAACCUGUUGCAGUAGUUAACUAUUCUUGUAAUUUGAAAGAUUUUCCUAAUAUAUAACCUCAUCUCCCUUACUGCAGAUUAAUCCAAUUACUUCUUGCUCUAAUUUUAGUGGACACAGAGAACAAUUAUUCACCAUCCUCUUUAUAACAGCCCUUAACAUAUUUGAAGACUGUUAUCAGGUCCCUCCCCCAAGUCUUCUUUUCUCAAGACUAAACAUGCCCAAUUUUUUAAACCUUUCCUCAUAGGUCAGGUUUUCUAAACCUUUGAUCAUUUGUGUUGCUCUCCUGUAAGCUCUCUCCAGUUUCUCCACAUCUUGAAGUGUGGUGCCCAAAACUGGACACCAUACUCCAUGAGGCUGGAAUCUCUGCGUUAGAAGGAUAACAAAUUCCUACAGUGGCUAAAACACAUUUGAAUUUUCCCCUGUCCCAUGCUUAGCAAAUGAAAUACUGUAUGUAGAGAGGGUUUGGAAUUAGAUGGGUAAUUUAAUGAGGGACCAGCUGUUACAAUAUUCAGAGUUGUAUAUUUUAAUUUUUUUUCCCUUGAUAUAAUGACUUUUCAGCUGAUAAAUAUUGCACUGAUGUCUAUUUCCUGGAUCAUUUAAUUAUUUUUUAAGUAUUUUAGCUCUGUUCCUAGCCAUCUUUAUUACUUUUUGUUGUUGUUAAAUGUGGGCCAAAUUCUGUAAGAUUUGGUCCUAUACAUUGAAAGUUGGAGGGCACAACAAAUUUAGAGAUUAAUGAUGCAAAAAAAAAUUGCCAGAAGUAAAUUGCAACUGAUGAUAGCACCAGUUCCAAUCCCAUUUGGGUUUGUUUGGGUGGCUUUAAGGGUAGGAAUCAUGUUGAAACACAUAGUUUGCAAAUAAAAACUGUUAGACUCCCUUCCUUACAAGUGACAACUCAUUUCUCUUCAAACAAGCUGAUGUUUGUGGCAAUUUAAUAUUAGCAAAUGAUCACAUUAAGGAUCUAUCUCAAUCUAUCUAUUUCAUGGUGCAAAAAAACAGAUUUAAGAAAUUCAGUUCAGCCCUCAAAUGUAAAUGAGUUAUACUUAAAUACGUUGUGUGUGUAGCUUCCUUUGCUUCUCCGGACAUUAUUGGUCUGGUGCUGCAAGCCCUUACUCAUGCAAGUUGUCCCAUUGAAGUCUUGAUGCAGCUGCUCAUGUGAGGAGCAGGUUUGCAGGAUUAUUUGGCUUGUAAUCUUAUUUAGCCAUAUACAUAGGUACAGCAAAACGUAAAGGGCAGGUUGAAAUCAACAAAAUGAUGUUGGUUAUGAAGGGAAAGAGUCCAAUGAGCUCUUCAUAGAUACAAAUCAUUGCUUUGACUGCACACAUUAGUUCAAUUUACCAAUAUUAUCAUAUUUGCAGCUUGUUAUAGUAAUAAAUUUAGAAUGAAUAACUGGACCUUCCACUCAAAGAAUGUAGUAAAACUCUGAUCCUGCAAACACACGAAGUCAAUGGGAUGCCUCACAGGCUUAAAUUUAAGCAGAUGUAUAAGGAUUUGUAGGAUUGGAGCCUAAAUUGUUCAUUGUUGAGUCUUCCCUGAAAUAGACACUUUAUUUUUAAAUUUUUUAGCAAUGCAAGAGUGUAUUUAUGCAUCAAUAUAAUGGAUACCUGGAAUCGGAUUUGGCUUUCUUCUGUUUCUUAAUUUAUCAGACCUUUCUCCACUGCUACCUAAAAUAUUUCUAUGAACAUGUCCUUUCAUCUUGUUUUAAAUUGUGCAUUCAUAUUUUUUCAUUAAAACAGUUAACAGCUGUGCAGUUUUUAUCCAAACUUAUGUUUGGUUACUGUUUAUCAUUUAAGUUUAAAAUAUAUAAGGAAGCCUCUCAUGUAAUGGGAAAACUUGCCAUAAAAAUGUAUAAAGGUGUAUGCCCUUUUCUUGGGUACAUGUUUUCACGUUUAAUAAAAACACAGUUUCCGUUUAUAACUUGAAACCUUCAGUUUCUAGCCACCAUUUAAUUUCUAUGUGUAAAGAAGGUAGAGAAAAUAAAUUGCUUUUGUUUUUCAUUUGAAUUCAGCAUACUAAAUAUUUGCUGAAUGACACAGCUUUGAGAAAUUGGAUCAAAACAUUUUUAUUCAAUCGUUGUUGUGAAUAACAAAUAACAUUCAAAAACUGUGAUUCCUAAAAUCAAAGGUGAGAAAAUUAUAAAGGCUCUAUUCACAAAUAUUUGAAUUUUAUGUGUGCACCAAUUUUUUUAAACUGUAUAUGAUGGAUGGCCAUCUGUGGCCAGUUAGCUGUGUAUGGCUUUGUAUUUGCAAUAAGCAGACACUGAACGACACAAAGUACACACACUGGCAUGUGCACAGAGUUUGGUAAGUAGUGGAUGAUUCAUCUGCAAGAGUACACGAAGCCAUUCACUAAAUUCCAGAUACUCCAAUGUUUGACAGUCUCUGCUGCCUAGUUAUUCAUUUCUGUAAAUGCUACUGUAUGUGUUCACAUGAUGAUGCAUUUGGGGGCAUCAUUUCCUCCCGAUCUUCAUAUGCCAAGAAGAGAAUCCCCAGUUUCAUUUUACUAACAGCAAAAAUUUGGCGGCACUCAAGUCUGUAUAGAGAAUCCAGGGAAAACAUGGAUGAUUUAAACAAGAUUUUGUAUUUUCUCAGUGCCCUGUUUUACUGAAAUGGGGAAUAGGAGAACUGAAACGCAUGAAAAGUAGGAUUGUAUUAUUUAUAUUUACUCUUGCCCCUGCACAGAAGGAAAUGAUAACAAUUACUUCUGUACCCACUUUUGACAGAAACCAAAUAAAAUGAAACCACUGUUAAUAAUUAACUGAUGUGAAAAUUAGGGAGCCAAAUUAUCAGCUGUGUAAAUUAGCUCUUCCUAGGUUUUAUUUAUAGAGUUAAUGUCUAUAUUCCUUUUUUCUCCUCUCUCUUUGGACUUCUGUUUUCCAUCCAUCCUACUGCAUGCCUGCUGUUUGCACAAAAAUCGUGUGCAAUUGCUGCAAGAAUAAUUUACACAAAAUCCAUGCAAAAUGUUGCUUACAUUUGUGAAUAGAGUCCUAACCAAACAUAGAUUAUUUCAUUAGAGAUGUUGCUAUAAACAUAUUUUGUGUAAGAAAUAGCCUGUUUCCUCAAGGCCUGAUCCAUUAGUACAUUGCGAGGAAUCCUCAGCACUAGAAAUUAGGGCAUGUAGCAUCUCACGGGAUUGUGCUCUAAAUGAGGCAACAGACACUCUGUGCCUCUUAAAAUGAUCUAAAACAAGAGUUGCUGUUUCCCAUAGAAAAUGGGGAGAAAAAAAUCCAUUCUGAAUAAAACACAUUUAAUUGAAAUAGAAGGCUGCAACACUGCUUUACUAAAGCUGUCCUUGGAAAGUCCAUGAUUUGAGAAGUGUACUUUAUCAGCGAGAAACUGGCUAGCGACACAAAUCAACAAAAGAGAUAGCCAAGAUUUGAUAACUGCCCUGUUCUUCAAUAUAUAAGUGCGCCGCCCAGAGACUAUAGGUCCCCGGGGGAGACCAGUCAGAUGAAGAUGAGAUCCCCCUCUGAAUCAAGAGAGAACAUUACAGACUGGGACAUAUAAUCGCCAUAGCCCAUGACUAUUACAGAUAAGGGAUGGGCAAAGUCUGAAUGCCUUGCCUUUUGACAACUAAACUAAGAGUGCAUCAGAAAUUAAAGUGUUUGCAGAAAACUGAAAGUUGAUAUUUUUUAAAUUAUACUUUUAAACAAUAUUAUUCAGAAAUUUGACAUUCAAAAAUGACAAUAAAAUAUUUCCCAGAGCUAUUAAAAAAUUUCUAAAGAUCUCCCAGUUUUUAUUUGACUUACCACAUUUCAGAUGAUUCUUAAAUGGAAAAAAAAUGAAUUCCUAAGUAAAAACAGAAAAAUCAGCAUUAAACAAUGGUAUAAAUAAAGUGGAAGCUGGAGCUUUGGGGGCUUUUUUAUUUCUAAUAAAAUGUAAGUUUCAGGAAAAAAAGAGAAUCUUUAAAAGAAACGUCUAUAAAUUUGUAGUGGCAAUUAAAGAAAUAUAAAUCAAAUUGAUUUAAGUGUGCAAAGACCAACUUUGAUUUGGGCUUUUUGUGGCAAGUAUCCCCUUGCAAAAAAUAUUGUGGUGCAUCUACUAUUGUUUUCCUUUUUGUGUGUGUGUGUGUGUGUGUGUGUGUGUGUGUGCACAUGCAUGCACAUGCUCAAUGUUAAAAAUCCUUUAUUACGUUGGUUGGCCAUUCAUGCAUCUGGCAACACCUGCUCACUGUUGGGGGGAAGGAAGAAUUUACUAUCUGGUGGAUUAUAUCUAUUUCAGUUAUUUAAAGCAUUGGUAAACUAUUGUCAACUUGUUCACAUUUCCACAAGACAUUCUAUGUAGAAAAUGUAUAUUUUUUAAUGCUGGCAUUAUAAAUUCGGCAAUCAUGCAUACUCUGUACAUUAUUGUAGGUUUUGUGUAAGAAAUCUUGUCACCAUUGCUUAAUACUGUAAAUUCUUGUUUCAAAGCAAGAGGUGGCUUUUGAUUGAACAGCCAUGUGUAUUUUAUGGUACUGUAGUACUUGUUCUGUUGUCAAAACUUGCUGUUCACAUGUGGUUAAAGCCUUGUUAAGCAUGCUUAGGGGCUUCAGAAUUUCUUUUACAUAGCACAUAUAUCAGCCAUUAACAGGGACAUUAAAUCAUAUGUAACGAAAAAAAUUUCACCUGAGUUCAGGUCCUUUUAGAGAGCUUGGUGUUAGAGUUCAGCAAGCAAUUGCUGGCUGCAGUUUAACACAUUUCAUUGUCUUAGUAUUGGGUAUGCAUCAGUGUGUGCUUUCCAGUUCAGCUGAGAUUAUCCUUCACAACCCAAAGCCUGAGUAAUUGGACUCUGUGCAGGGAACUAAGCAGGAAAUGGAUAUCCUUCCUUUCACCAUCUCCAACCCACAAUGCAGGCUACAGGACUACAGCAUGGCACUUCACAGCCACUGUUCCAGCUUAUAGGGGUACCUGCCACUGUAACCAUAUAAGCAUGGAUCCAGUGGCCCCUCCUCUGGUCUAGUUCUUCUGCAUCAGGUACUGGACACAAGUGCAGGAGAUAAGGAAGCACUACCUGCAUACUAUGCUCACAGUCCCUACACAGUGCUACUAAUGUGCCCAUGUGAGGUAUAAAGUCUUGCCCUUCUCUACUAAAUGAAUUGCAUUCUUAGUAAGAAUUAUUCAGGUGGCCAGCAAAGGAAAGUAAAAUUGAACUUCCCUCCCUCCCCAUAUUUUUGUUAUUUUGUGCAAAGAAGACCUGAAAUGUUGUAGGUUUUUGGUUUUGCUUGUUAUUUUUUUACAUAUUAGGAAUUCAGACCCUGUCUGGGCAUGAAUACUUUAUGAUAUCCAGACAACUAGUGAAACAGAUGACAGCAUGAGCCAAGAAACUUGAGCUAUUGAGAGAGAAGGAAUUUUUACUCAGACCAUUUAAAACUGGUUUUUGCUUGUUUUCUUUAACAGCUAUUUAACUGAAAUAACUAACUAAUAUUUUGAAUACAGGAAGCCUUUAUUAAAUACUUGACACCUUCACCCUUUCAAUUAAAAUGUUAAAAGCCCACAGUAAACAUCCCUUCUACUUCCUAGUGGUUCUCCCCCAAAAAAUCAAGGACAUAUUUGUGAUAUUGGUAAGGUAAAAAAGAAAAAAAACUUUAAAAAAUCAUUUGAGAGCCUCUUUUAUAUAUCAUUGAAAAGUCAAAAAGAGCACAAACCCAAUUAUACCAAAAGAACCUUUGCAGGUUACCGAUAAACAACUAGAUAGAUGUGUCAUAGAGGAAGAAUAGUUUCCAAAAUUGUGAAUUAGACUACUAGUCAAUCCCUAAUUUUAUAAAGAAAGGAAAAUCUUCAUUCAAAAUGCAACAUUCAAAAUAAGCAGAAAUUUAAUUUGAGAAACUAAAUAAUAAAUAAAUAUUCUAGGAUAUAGUUCAGAAAACACAAUCCUGUUUCCAUACAAGGGUACACUAAUAAGUUCAAAUGAAUAUAAAAUCAAAACUGCUGGUAUGUGGGGGGGUCUCCCUAAACUUUGUGGGUUUCUGCACCAGCUGUCCUAGUCCCCCAAACUUGAUCUUCAUAGUCUACAGCUGCUGUAAGAAUCACUCCAUUUCACACCACCACCAUAUAAAGUUCAAAAACAAGUCUCACAAAUAUCAUCUUUGAGGGAAGAUUUCUGCUUUAAAACCACAUAAACUAGUGAGCCUUACUUUAGAAUGGAAAAUCAUUCCAGGUGCAAAUCUCUUUAGACCUUGUUUGUGAGUAAUUUUUAAAAGCAUCCUUUUUAAUCAUUUAAGAAGGGAAGCAAUAAGUACCCAGAGAUCCAACAAGCUGCCUGACAUCCAUCACUUCACUUAUCAAAUGAUUGUGUUUUGCUUUGGGAGAUAUUUACUACUGUACCUGCAACCACUUGAAAGUUGCCCUCACAAUGCCUCUGUUUUUGAAUCAUUGGUCUAAGUCCUUUAGAAAACAAAUCAUCUAUCAAAGAAUGGAGCAUCCCAUAACUACUUUGUGAAAUAUUCUCCUGUUCUCCACCAUCUAUUCCAUGUGGUGGAGUUUUGGUAUUAUUGGCACUAUUGUGCAGAAAUGUGCACACUUAAUUUGACGAUGAUUUUGUAGUUAUGUAUUGAGAAAGUGCCCCUUCCCCCCCCCAACAGAAGUGUCUCAGAAGGCUUAAAAUGUAACACAAUCACUGUGGUUCCCUGGUGUGAAAAAGAAGCCACCCUACAGGAAAAAUUCAUAGUUCCCUUGAAUGCCAUGAAACCAAGCUCCAUGGUUGUACCCCAAGGAAAAUUUGUGACACAUCACUGGAGUGAUCGGGGCAUGGCCAAUGGGUCCAUGAAUUGUGUGGCUCAACUAAACACAAACGUGGGAGGGUACCUUGCAGCGCUGCAGCUUCUACUACAGCCCAUAUGUUAUAGCAGCAACCCUGGCCCAGACCAUGGGUAUUCCACAUCCUGGGGUCAGGUCCCCCAUACCAAACUUAUCUUCUGGAUUUAACACAAUUGUGGGUGAGAAUUUCACCCCAAAACAAAACUGGAAUUUUUGUGAAAUACUACAUGGUUUUCUGUGCUCUUCAAUCUUGGAGUCGAACUUUUCACAUUAGAUUCUUGCCUUCAGCAUUUUGACUCUCUUAUAUUUUUCUUUUUUAAUAGAAUUUGAGCUGAUUUUUGUUUGAAUAGUUCUGGGAGGUUGUACCCCCUUUUUAAAAUGUUAACCUUAGUUCAGUGGAUAUUGUUCAUUUUUUAUUAAUAAUCUUUGAUGGGUGCACAAAAGAGGUUCGUUCAUUUAAACUAUCCAACAAGGAAACCAUUACAUAGGGGAACUAAAAUCAACCAGUCAUGUUUGUUGCUGUCUAAUUUCAAAAUAUUAGGUAGUUGUAGCCAAAAAGUGAAUGUGCAUAGCCUUUGUUUUAGAUGAAUUUUCUAUGCAUGGCAGUCAGCAUUUAUUUUCCUCUGUCAUGAGCAUUACUGAACAAAGUGGGCUGUUUGGAAAGUUAGUGAUCUAGCAGGAUCCUCAUACUUCAGGAUUUUGAGUAGAUCAGUCGUACUGGCAGUUCAUGUUUUUCACACUGUCUCUUGUAAACGUCUGCCUUUUGCCACAUCCUGAUUUGGAGAUGUGGGAAUCCCAUGCUUUAGAUGAUUAGCUCCUUGCAAGUGGUAUCAUUGCAUGGGCUUAACAUACUCUACUCUAAGCCCCAUAGCCUGCACCAAACACCAAGCCUCCCGGUUUUCCUGUUAUGCUAGUGCAACUUGCCAACAUUCCCCACUAAUUAUUGGCACCAAAUCAUAAUACUGAUUGCAGCAAGAGCUCCCACUCCUACAAGUUAAGGAACAGCAGAGAUUAAAAAAUAUAAACGUGGUCACUGAUGCCUUUAUCACGUUCAUAGUGUGCCCAACUUCUCACAACCAAGGUGUUGAGAUGCAGAAUCUACCUCUGAACUUAGCUUAAAACUUCAUCAGACAAGAGUAGAUUUCAUUUUCUUUCAUGAGUCUAUCAGGAGCUAUACUGAUAUGUUUGCUUUAUUUUCUGAAUUGCAAGUCAUUUUAUAUUGAAAAUGAAUAUGCUUUUUGUGUGGCAUUGAAUGAAGUGUCGGAAAAGGCUGUUUAUUAUGUGCUAAUACAGUCACUGCUUACCAGUUAGAUAUUUCAGGGGCUGAACUGCAGCCAAAAGUUAUGUUCAAGAAUCAUCUUAAUUUUAAUGUUAUACUCACAUGAAAACGGGGCUGUUUCUCUUGCUAUUUCUGGGUUUCUUUGAAUUUUAGGGAAAAGGGCAAAUGGCACAAUUGUUGUAAUUGGAAAAGUGACUGUGAUGGCAGCUAGUUGACUGCUUUUCAGGUGCAUCAAUACAACAGGAUCCAUUCUCUGACUCAGCUGAUACACUUCCAGCUGUCUUGGUAAAUCUAUAGUGAAUGAAUAAUUUUUAUGUUCUAAAGGGAUUUGCCAUUCUAUGGACAUAGAAGAUUACCCAGAUGACCUGCCAAGAGAGGCAAAAAUAUAGCAAUUUGUCUAUGAUCAUAUGUAGCAUUAUUCAUUUUAAUGUGCCAUUAUAUUUAUACUUUCAAUUUUUUUUUAGCAUUCUACGAACUUUAGGCAGUUAGGAGGAGAAAAAUAAAUCUCUCUCAUGUAUAGCAAAAACAAUGUAUAAUUUACAUUAAAUGUAGACCACUACCAUACCUUUUAUUUCCUGUGCCUUUAACAUAUGUGAGUAGAUAAACUUCCUCCCCUUUUCUUGGUGGUUUGAUAUCUUUACCUGCUGUCUAGUAACUCUGAUGUCCUUCUUCAAUAUGGAAACAUUUGACAUAAGAACAUUUGAGACUAUUUGGGCUAGUAUGUAUGUUUCACCCAGUGGCACAUUACCCAGUCAAGAACGCCAUAUUCUUCAUAAGAUCAUAAAACACAAAGACUUCAUACAAUUUGCUUUCUGCCGUCUCCCUCCGUAGGACUGCUCGUAAAGCAAUUAGAAAGAAAUAUUGCAACACAAAUGUCAUUCUGUUUACCCAAUAUAGGCUCCAUCCUGCAUCUCUUGUUCACUCACAACUCCAAUUCACCUGACAAUUAUUUGAGAAGGAGUUUGGAGAGUACAGAGAAUGCAGAACAAGGAUCUUCACAGGGGUGUAUGCUGAUGUAAGCCAGUGUCUUCAGCAACCAGAGAAAUGUAGCGUUUUGCCAACUUCUUUCUAGUGAAAACACUGAGCGUGCUUAGCACUUUUAACAAGUUUCAGAGACACAAGUGUCAGACUGUAUAAUUGCAUCUCAUCUAAUUUUGACACUUAACCACUACUAUUUUAUGAAGUAUGAAUCUCAAUAGUAUCUACAUACUUUGAUUCUGAUAUACCAAUCAACAGCAAAACUGAACAGUGAACAGCCAGGUUUACACACAAAAGAUCACAUUUUUUUUAAAAAAGGUUCCUUGUUUUGAUUUUGUUCACUAUUUCUAGAACAUUUUCAACAUUAAAAUAUUUUUCUACCUGGUUAUCUGAGGCUUAUCUCUCUUCACCAACCAGAAUGGUCUGCAGCCUUCUACACUAUGAAAGACAACAGAACUUCACAUAUAUUGGCUUUGUACCUGCCUAAUGCAUUAUUGGAAUUUUCAGCAGAGCUAUAAAGCCUUUUAUUUUAUAUGUGUUUGUGUAAUUAAAGAAAUUAGAAACUUCAGGUGUAAAGGAGUAUCCACCAUUUCACUCUCAUUCUCUCUGAUUCCUCGGGGUUCAUAGUUACCUUUUUGAAGCCACAGAGUUAUCUCUUUAAACCAGUGCAGUCUAAGAGCUGUGUUAAAUUCCAUUUAUGAAGUAUAACAUUUGACUGUGGAAGGUUCACUUUGGUAAGGAGGUGUAACAUAUGUCAUUAGGGACAUGGACACUUGGAAAUAGGAUUGGUAAGAAGACUAAAAACCAAGAUGGUACAAGUAAAAAUAUAAAAAUUUGGCAUCAAAAUCUGUUCUAGAAUAGUUGGGGUUUUGUUUUGUUUUUAAACUUUUGUCCUUUAUAUGUUUUUUUUUUUUGCAGAAGAGGAGUUGGGGACUGUCAGACCACAUGGGGAAUUUUAGAAAUAUAUCACUCAGCAAUCAUUUUAUAAAGUUGAACUUCUAAAUGCACUAUGAUUUAUUACAAAACAUAUUUUCUUCUGCUUGCAGACAUGGUGGUUCCAUUUUGUGAUAAGUUAAAUUAAGCAGUUAAUUUGUUGCACUGCAUAGCUGCAUGAAUUCAUCAAGUGUACAUAUUUACCUACAUUAUUUUGGGUUUUGUAUUUGAAUUUGCAGUAUUGAUUAUUUUUGUAUUUUACUUUGCCUCUGUUAUUGGAAUUGUAAUAGGCAUAAUUUAUACAUAUGAUUUUACAACUGUUUUUGCAACCGAAAGGUCUUCUUUAAAGUUUAAAGUUUUAUUGAUGGAAACUCAUUAAAAAUGGUAUAAGAAUAAUA